AGUUGAGCGGAGAUAUAUGGAGCUUGCUUUAUAUAACUUAGCAGCGAACGGGUGAGUAACACGUAGAUAAUCUAUCCUAUACUGGGGGAUAGCCCGAUGAAAGUUGGAUUAAUACCGCAUAUAGCUAUAUAGUUGCAUGAUUAUGUAGUGAAAGAUUUAUUGGUAUAGGAGGAGUCUGCGGCACAUUAGCUAGUAGGUGAGGUAAAGGCUUACCUAGGCGACGAUGUGUAGCCGGUCUGAGAGGAUGAACGGCCACAAUGGAACUGAGACACGGUCCAUACUCCUACGGGAGGCAGCAGUGGGGAAUAUUGCACAAUGGGGGAAACCCUGAUGCAGCAACGCCGCGUGAGUGAAGAAGGUUUUCGGAUUGUAAAGCUCUGUUAGCAGGGAAGAGGAAGGACGGUACCUGCAGAGGAAGCCACGGCUAACUACGUGCCAGCAGCCGUGGUAAUACGUAGGUGGCAAGCGUUGUUCGGAAUAACUGGGCGUAAAGGAUGCGUAGGCGGUUAAACAAGUUAUAUGUUAAAUAUAUAGGCUUAACCUGUAGAAAGCAUAUAAAACUGUUCAACUAGAGUGCAGGAGAGGUAAGUGGAAUUCCUAGUGUAGCGGUGAAAUGCGUAGAGAUUAGGAAGAACACCAGUGGCGAAGGCGACUUACUGGACUGUAACUGACGCUGAGGCAUGAGAGCAUGGGGAGCAAACAGGAUUAGAUACCCUGGUAGUCCAUGCUGUAAACGAUGGGUACUAGGUGUGGGUUGUGA
rnacentral:rRNA from 1 species